rnacentral:tRNA from 1 species
GCCUAGUUAGCUCGGAGGGUAUUAACGCGUGUGUCUUGUAAGCGCUAGGUCGCGGGUUCGAUUCCCGCCCGGGGCA